GUAAGUAACCUGGGGUUUCUUACUGGGUUGUUUUUGUUUUUGCAGGCUCUCACUUGUCAAGUGCAGCAGGAAGGUGUCUUGGUUGGAGGAGAGUAGAGGAGGGAAGGAAUAACAUGCAUUUCUAUGCUUCUCUGAGCCUGGAGCUGCUGGUGCAGGAAGUAGAGCAGCCUUGUUUCUGUUCUCAUUGAAACCACUCAUUAAUAUUCCCCAGGGGACAACUACUCAGCUGGGAGCUUUAUGAAGCAGUACCAUCUCCCAAGGGUCAAUCCCUCGAGGUCGUAGAAUGAUAGAAUAUCCCAAGUUGGAAGGGACCCACAAGGAUCAUUGAGGUCUACAAGGAGGCUUCAAGUGACUUCUGUAUUUUCAGAGCUGGCAGAACACAAUGUAAGCACCUGAGCAAACUGCUACAAGCCAAUGCUGGGAAAAUCUGAAUACAGAUGGAAUGAAAAGUAACAGAUCUAGUGUACCACAGCAAGGAGUGCAACACAGCUACUUCUGUGUUACAGAUAUUGGG